rnacentral:rRNA from 1 species
GACGAACGCUGGCGGCGUGCUUAACACAUGCAAGUCGAACGGAAAGGCCCCUUUGGGGUUACUCGAGUGGCGAACGGGUGAGUAACACGUGAGUAACCUGCCCUUGACUUCGGGAUAACUUCAGGAAACUGGGGCUAAUACCGGAUAGGAAUCCUUGCUGCAUGGUGGGGGUUGGAAAGCUUCGGCGGUUUUGGAUGGACUCGCGGCUUAUCAGCUUGUUGGUGGGGUAGUGGCUUACCAAGGCUUUGACGGGUAGCCGGCCUGGGAGGGCGACCGGCCAAAAUGGGAAUGAGAUACGGCCCAGACUCCUACGGGAAGCAACAGUGGGGAAUAAUGCACAAUUGGCGGAAGCCUGAUGCAACAAAGCCGCGUGCGGGAUUAACGGCUUCGGGUUGGAAACCGCUUUCAGCAGGGGCGAAACUUGUGGUGACGGUACCUGCAGAAGAAGCACCGGCUAACUACGUG